CAUGAAAUGUAGGAAAACAAUCAAGAAGGUGGGAAGUGAAGAGCACCACUUAUGGCAGAAAAAAGACUCGGCUGGGUCUGGGCAAAAGGCACUCAAUCUUGUCAGAAUUGUCUCCGGACUUCCUAAUGAGAAAGAGACAGUUUAUGGAGCAUUAGAUAAAUGGACAGCUUGGGAGACUGAUGAGUUUCCAUUGAUUGCAGCGGUUAAGGCCUUGAGAAUCCUAA